AGAUUAGAGCAGACGUUUCAGGUUGCUGCCAUCAGAGAGUAUUGACUUGACCUUAGUGUCUUUAGUGUGCUCCCACAUUGAGCUCUACUUUUUGGGUCCAUGCACCUACUUAUUUCUAAACAUCUAGAGCGCAACAAUACCCCUGCCUCCUGAUAUGCCAUAUAACCUGUAUCUCUCCGUGUGUGUGUGUGUGUGUGUGUGUGUGUGUGUGUGUGUGUGUGUGUGUGAGAGAGAGAAUGUGUGCACGCAGAUAUAAGAAGUUGGGGUUGAUGAUCCACAUGAUGGUGAUGGACCAGGACAGCUCUGGACCUCCUGACUGGCAGCUCCAUCCUCAACCUCUCUUCCUGCCCUUCACACGUGUGCAGGCAGCCAGUUUUCUGAAAGAUGGUUGAUGUCAGUACCAACAUGUUGUGAUGGAGGCUUCCACCUGAGCUGAACACAGAAACUUGCACACAGUGUUGGAAGCAGUCGUUCCUGCUCAGCAUCGAUAUGCCAGUAAUGGGUUUGAUGAGCCACAGCAUGGUGAUGGGCAAUCAGCAUCAGGACCAGGGCAGCUCACAAGGAGAACCUCCUGCCC